AUGUACUCCAGUUUAUCCGAAGUAUCCCAAUGGUGUAAGACCGUCGACUAUUUGGGAAAAAGGAGGAAAAUCACUCUGAUCUCUGAUUUCGGAGAAAUAAGUGGCUCACGAGGAAUGGAGAGACAGAUUCUCUAUUUGAUCUCGAAGUCCUCAUAUAACACUUCUUCCAGUCGGAUCACUUGUUGGAAAAACAUAAUGCUCACACAUGUUCCACACGGGCAAGGAAGCAUAGUAUUAUGUUGA
rnacentral:rRNA from 1 species